rnacentral:lncRNA from 1 species
CCGACAUUACCCGAGUUUUUAAAGUCAAAAUUUUACCAAUAAAAUACUCACAACAAUCAAAAUGUUUGAAUUUCAAAGCUUUACCCAGACGGUAGGCCAAAACCACACACAGUGUGAAGGUUGCAGACCAAGACAAAAGGUUAGAAUGUCUGUUUUUUUUUUUUUUUUUGGGAACAGUCAGAAGCUGUUAUCUUGAAAAGCUCUCUCUUUCGAUAUUGCAUGUGCGAGCACCGUUCACAUGUGAGCUUUUCUCUCUGCAAACAUAGCUUACGGCUAGCCCUUCGAGAACCUUCUUAGCUCUCUCAUACACAGCUUUUGGAGGGGUAAAAUAGUUAGGCUAAGUGCAUGCUGCACAGAACAAAAAUUGCAUUCAAGGUUGGAAGACUUAAUUGAUGUGCGUGUAGAAAAUAUACAAAAACAAAAAAAAACGUGGUGAAAAGUUUGCAAAACCAUAAAAGGGAACAUAACCCAAAUAAAAAAACAAUAUAAAAGUGUUGUGGCUGCAAGACGAAACAAAAAAACCAACCCCUGGAUAAGGUACGCCAAG